rnacentral:rRNA from 1 species
GUAGGGAAUCUUCCGCAAUGGACGCAAGUCUGACGGAGCAACGCCGCGUGAGUGAUGAAGGUUUUCGGAUCGUAAAGCUCUGUUGCCAGGGAAGAACGCUUGGGAGAGUAACUGCUCUCAAGGUGACGGUACCUGAGAAGAAAGCCCCGGCUAACUACGUGCCAGCAGCCGCGGUAAUACGUAGGGGGCAAGCGUUGUCCGGAAUUAUUGGGCGUAAAGCGCGCGCAGGCGGCUGAGUAAGUCUGAUGUUUAAACCCAGGGCUCAACCUUGGGUCGCAUUGGAAACUGCUUGGCUUGAGUGCAGAAGAGGAGAGUGGAAUUCCACGUGUAGCGGUGAAAUGCGUAGAGAUGUGGAGGAACACCAGUGGCGAAGGCGACUCUCUGGGCUGUAACUGACGCUGAGGCGCGAAAGCGUGGGGAGCAAACAGG